rnacentral:rRNA from 1 species
CCUACGGGCGGCAGCAGUGAGGAAUAUUGGUCAAUGGGCGGAAGCCUGAACCAGCCAAGUAGCGUGCGGGAUGAAGGCCCUACGGGUCGUAAACCGCUUUGCACGGGGAUAACACCCUCCACUUGUGGAGGUCUGCAGGUACCGUGCGAAUAAGGGCCGGCUAAUUCCGUGCCAGCAGCCGCGGUAAUACGUAGGAGGCAAGCGUUAUCCGGAUUGACUGGGGUGAAAGGGUGCGUAGGUGGUUUGGCAAGUUGGUAGCGUAAUCCCGGGGCUCAACCUCGGUGCUACUACCAAAACUGUUGAACUUGAGUGCAGGAGGGGUGAAUGGAAUUCCCAGUGUAGCGGUGGAAUGCGUAGAUAUUGGGAAGAACACCAGCGGCGAAGGCGAUUCACUGGACUGUAACUGACACUGAGGCACGAAAGCGUGGGGAGCAAACAGGAUUAGAUACCCCUGUAGUC